rnacentral:rRNA from 1 species
GACGAACGCUGGCGGCGUGCUUAACACAUGCAAGUCGAACGGUGAAGCGCCUUCCUUUUUGGUGGGUGUGGAUGAGUGGCGAACGGGUGAGUAACACGUGAGUAACCUGCCCCCUUCUUCUGGAUAACCGCAUGAAAGUGUGGCUAAUACGGGAUAUUCUGGGUCUGUCGCAUGAUGGGUCUGGGAAAGAUAUUGUUUCGGUGGGGGAUGGGCUCGCGGCCUAUCAGGUUGUUGGUGGGGUGAUGGCCUACCAAGGCGGUGACGGGUAGCCGGCCUGAGAGGGUGGACGGUCACACUGGGACUGAGACACGGCCCAGACUCCGACAGGAGGCAGCAGUGGAGAAUAUUGCACGAUGGGCGCAAGCCUGAUGCAGCGACGCCGCGUGAGGGAUGGAGGCCUGCGGGUUGUGAACCUCUUUCGCCAGUGAAGCAGGCCUGCCUCGUUUGUGGGUGGGUUGACGGUAGCUGGAGAAGAAGCGCCGGCUAACUACGUG